GCAGAAAGAGAGGGUACCACCAGCAGCUCUUUCUUUGGUGAAAGCCUAAAAUCUUCAACAUCCAUAGUACUAACACAAUAUCUUAUCAGCCUCUUAUCAGUGGCUGUUUAGGUUGCUUCUAAUUUUUUAUUAUGGACGAUGCCGCAAUGAACAUCCUUAGUCAUUAUGUUAGUUCCCUAUUGUUUGUAUAACAAAUCACCACAAACUCAGUGGCUUAAAACAACACAGAUUUAUUACCUUGCAGUUCUGGAGGUCAGAAAUUCACAAGAGACUUUUGAGCUAAAAAUCAAGGCAUCAACUGGGCUGCAUUCCUCUCUGGAGACUCUAGGGGAGAAUCUAUUUCCCUCCCUUUUCUAGUCGCCUUCAUUCCUUGGCUCAUGGCUCCCCUCCAUCUUUAAAGUCAGCAAAGUCUCAUGGAAUCUUUCCCACAUUGAAUCACUCUGACACAAAACAUUCUUGUCCACAUUUAAAGCACUCUUGGGAUUACAUUGGCUCCACCUGGUAUAAUCUAAGAGACUCUUAUAUUAAGGUCAGCUGAUUAGCAACCUUAAUUCCAUAUGGCAACCUUCAUUUUCUCCUGCCAUGAAUGUAGCCUAUUCACAUAUUCUCAGGUUCUGGGCAUUAGAAUGUGGACAUCUUUGGGUGGGGCUGGGGAGGGUGGGGGCAUAUUAUCCAGCUUACUGCAGUCCUGUCUUUGAACACUUGCAUAAUUAUCUUUGUAGGAUAACUAGAAAUGAACUUGCAGGAUUGGGGGGUAUGCACAAAAACCUUCAGCUGCCCUCGUAAAGUCUAGAUUUCCAUGAGCACAGUGUGGCAGGCCUUACUUUCCUCACCGUGACCUGUCUUGAAUAUUUUAAUGUUUUAAAUCUGGCAUGUCCAUUUACAUUAAGAAGCUGAUAGGACACUGAAUCAUCCAUGAUCCAAAAGCUUGGACGUGUUUGCCUUUCAAAGGACACAAGCAGCAUUUUUCAUCUGCUUUAUCUUUCAAACUGUGUUUUGCUUAGGUUAAUAUUUAAAUAAUUUGGUGUUUCUUUGAGGACCAUCAUAGUUGAUUAGCAAAGAUAUAGCACAGAAUCAAUGGCAAGGGAAAUGCCUUAUGAUGAACAUUUUAUUGCCAGCAAUUCAUAAAAUAGUAUUCUAAUACACUGAUGUAUUAACCUAAUAAUCAGUUCAUUGGUAUUUAUCAUACACCCAAUGCGUAUCAGGCACCACCUAACCUCCGGGAAUUUACGAAGCAGGAAAGCGAAUAUGACACAAGUGCAGAACACGUGACAGGGAAUUGGAGAAUUGACUGGAUUUGUGUAAAAUCCAUCCAUUGCAACUUAUGUGAUCUAACUUGUUACAAUGGGUCACUUUUAUUUUGGAGAACUUCACGUUUUUAGCGAAAUAGUUGGAUAAUCAUACAAUAUGGCAACAUAGCACGCAGUUGCCAAAACUUUUGUUUGAAUGCAACAAUUUCUCAAGCCUGAAAGAGGAAUCUAAAAAAUCGAUGAUCUGAAAUAAGCCAACCACAAAAAGACAAAUGUUGUUUGAUUCCACUUAUAUGAGGUGCCUACAGUAGUCAAAUUCAUAGAGACAGAAAAUAUAAUGGUGGUUGCCCCAGGCUGGAGGGAAGGGAGAAUGGGAGUUGUUAAAAUGGUACAGAUUUUCAGAGUUUCAGUUUUGCAAGAUGACAAAAAUUCAGUUGUACAACAUGAAUGUACUUAAUAUUGCUGACUUGUGCACUUAAAAAUGGUUGAGAUGGUAAGUUUUAUGUUGUAUAUAAUUUAUAAAAAGUUUGGAAAAAUAGUUAUCUUCUAAGCAGUCAUGGGAGAAAGUUACUGCAAACAUUUAUUGAGUGCCAACAGUGUUGGACACUCCCAUGUAUUGUCUUUUUUGAAAAAUUAUUUUUAUUUGUUUUUUAAAAUAGAGACAGAACCUCACCAUGUUGCCCAGGCUGGUCUUGAACUCCCUGGGCUCAGGCAAUCCUCCUGCCUCGGCCUCCCAAAGUGCUGGGAUUACAGGUGUGAACCACAGUGCUGUGCCCCGGGUAUUGUUUAGUCCUCCCAACAACUCUAUGAGGUAGGUAUAAUUGACCUAUUUUGCAGGUAAAAAAGACUCUGUAACUUGCCCAGAGUCACACAAACUGGGAUUUGAGCCCAAUUUAUCUUUUUUCUGUGUCCCAGUACAUAAGUAAGAUCCAUGGGAUUUUCACUGUAAACAUCACCCUAAAUAUUUUCUAAAGUAGAAAUACCCAUAUUAGAAAUGACACAAGGGCACAAUUACUUAGCUAGAAUAUAAAAUUCCUGGAAACAUUUACUGGCUUCUCCAGAUAAAGUUUAUCUUACUAAAUAAUUAGGACUUUUAUUUUUUCCUCCUUCCCUCCCUCUCUCCAUUCCAUCAUUCUUUUCUCAUUCUUUCUUUCAAGAUUAGAGUAAUAUCUAAAUCACAGUCACGCAGAGCAGUAAAACCCAUGUUGAGGUAACUUACUAAAUUAGCCUCUGACUAUACAUUACUAUUCAGAGGGCUGGGAAAGAUCUGUAAGGGAUUGGACAAAGGAAAUGCUCCACCUGUUCCUCCUCUGACAUGGACUCUUGAUGAUAUCAUAUAAAAAGUCAUUUCCUGCUUGGUCCUUAUCUCUAAUGCUGACUAAAUUAAUAGUCUUACUUCCUUUACUUGUGUGUAUGGAAUUUGGGAAUAAAAGUAAAAUCACUUCCUAUUUGGUUUUAUACUGAGGCUCCUUAAAGUUCAUGUACUUGGGUGAUUUUUCCUUCUUUGGGGACUACAGGUUGUUUGAUGUAAAAAAGGAACAAAUUAUAACAUAUGCCAUGCCGAAAUUCAGUGAGAGUCAUGGUUUAUCUGGUACCCAUGUCCUAAUGAAUGUAUUUCCAACUCAUAAACUUGCUGAAGAUUUGAAAUAAGUAAAACCAAAAUCAUACUAUUAUGGAGGUUUUAAAACCUAACUUAAAAGAGUGACUGUAUAUUCGUAAUUGCUACAAAAAAAAAAAAAAA
ensembl:lncRNA